ensembl:rRNA 5S_rRNA 5S ribosomal RNA
GUCUACGGCCAUACCACCCUGAAUGCGCACGAUCUCGUCUGAUCUCGGAAGCUAAGCAGGGUGGGGCCUGGUUAGUACUUGGAUGGGAAAAAACGAAACACAUUCAGCAGUCAUGCUCC